rnacentral:rRNA from 1 species
AACGAACGUUAGCGGCGCGCUUAACACAUGCAAGUCGCACGAGAAAGGGCUUCGGCCCCGGUACAGUGGCGCACGGGUGAGUAACACGUGGGUAAUCUUCCCUCUGGCGGGGGAUAACCUUCCGAAAGGAGGGCUAAUACCGCAUAAGACCACGACUCCGAAAGGAGACGAGGUUAAAGCUGGCCUCUAUACAUAAGCUAGCACCAGAGGAUGAGCCCGCGGCCCAUCAGGUAGUUGGUAGGGUAACGGCCUACCAAGCCUAAGACGGGUAGCUGGUCUGAGAGGAUGAUCAGCCACACUGGAACUGAGACACGGUCCAGACUCCUACGGGAGGCAGCAGUGGGGAAUCUUGCGCAAUGGACGAAAGUCUGACGCAGCGACGCCGCGUGGGUGAUGAAGGCCUUCGGGUUGUAAAGCCCUGUGGGGAGAGACGAAUAAGUGCGGGCUAAUACUCCGCAUGAUGACGGUAUCUCCUUAGCAAGCACCGGCUAACUCUGUGCCAGCAGCCGCGGUAAGACAGAGGGUGCAAACGUUGUUCGGAAUUACUGGGCGUAAAGCGUGUGUAGGCGGCUAUGUAAGUCGGAUGUGAAAGCCCUGGGCUCAACCCAGGAAGUGCACUCGAUACUGCGUAGCUUGAGUCUCGGAGAGGUUGGUGGAAUUCUCGGUGUAGAGGUGAAAUUCGUAGAUAUCGAGAGGAACACCGGUGGCGAAGGCGGCCAACUGGACGAAGACUGACGCUGAGACACGAAAGCGUGGGGAGCAAACAGG